GCGGCGAACAGUCCACACAACGCUUUCCUUGAUAAAAUUUAAGCGUUUUAUAAGAGGAUGCCGGGGAAGGUUUUCCGGUUUAUCCCGGAGGGCUUGUAGCUCAGUUGGUUAGAGCGCGCGCUUGAUAGGUCGGAGGUUCAAGUCCUCCCAGGCCCACCAAUAAAGGCUGUGUAACUAUUCGGACAUA
rnacentral:misc_RNA from 1 species